UAGAGUUUGAUCUUGGGGGAGGAUGAACGCUAGCUACAGGCUUAACACAUGCAAGUCGAGGGGAAACGACAUCGAAAGCUUGCUUUUGAUGGGCGUCGACCGGCGCACGGGUGAGUAACGCGUAUCCAACCUGCCCACCACUUGGGGAUAACCUUGCGAAAGUAAGACUAAUACCCAAUGAUAUCUCUAGAAGACAUCUGAAAGAGAUUAAAGAUUUAUCGGUGAUGGAUGGGGAUGCGUCUGAUUAGCUUGUUGGCGGGGUAACGGCCCACCAAGGCAACGAUCAGUAGGGGUUCUGAGAGGAAGGUCCCCCACAUUGGAACUGAGACACGGUCCAAACUCCUACGGGAGGCAGCAGUGAGGAAUAUUGGUCAAUGGGCGAGAGCCUGAACCAGCCAAGUAGCGUGCAGGAAGACGGCCCUAUGGGUUGUAAACUGCUUUUAUAAGGGAAUAAAGUUAGUCUCGUGAGACUUUUUGCAUGUACCUUAUGAAUAAGGACCGGCUAAUUCCGUGCCAGCAGCCGCGGUAAUACGGAAGGUCCGGGCGUUAUCCGGAUUUAUUGGGUUUAAAGGGAGCGUAGGCCGGAGAUUAAGCGUGUUGUGAAAUGUAGACGCUCAACGUCUGCACUGCAGCGCGAACUGGUUUCCUUGAGUACGCACAAAGUGGGCGGAAUUCGUGGUGUAGCGGUGAAAUGCUUAGAUAUCACGAAGAACUCCGAUUGCGAAGGCAGCUCACUGGAGCGCAACUGACGCUGAAGCUCGAAAGUGCGGGUAUCGAACAGGAUUAGAUCCCCUGGUAGUCCGC
rnacentral:rRNA from 1 species